GUAAUGCAUAAGAAACGUGCCCUGAAGACCGGGAUAGUCAUUGGAAACGAUGGGUAAUACCGGAUGUGGUCAUCUUUUGGCAUCAAAGGAUGAUUAAAUGGUUUUUCGCUUCAGGAGCGUCUUAUGGCCUAUCAGGUAGUUGGUGGGGUAAUGGCCUACCAAGCCGACGACGGGUAGCGGGUCUGAGAGGAUGAUCCGCUCGAGUGGGACUGAGACACGGCCCACACACCUACGGGUGGCAGCAGUUGGGAAUCUUGCACAAUGGGGGAAACCCUGAUGCAGCGACGCCGCGUGGAGGAUGACGGGUCUAGGCCUGUAAACUCCUUUUAUGGGGAAAGACUUAGGACGGUACCCCAUGAAUAAGGACCGGCUAACUACGUGCCAGCAGCCGCGGUAAGACGUAGGGUCCAAGCGUUGUCCGGAUUUACUGGGCGUAAAGAGCGCGUAGGCGGUCUGUUAAGUGUGAAGUGAAAUCUCCAGGGCUCAACCCGGAAACUGCUUCGCAUACUGGCAGACUGGAGGGAUGCAGAGG
rnacentral:rRNA from 1 species